rnacentral:rRNA from 1 species
CCGGCGACCGGCGCACGGGUGAGUAACACGUAUGCAACCUGGCCGUCACAGGUGGAUAACCGGAAGAAAUUCCGACUAAUACAGCAUAACACUCCUGAGGGACACCCCUUGGGAGUCAAAGGAGGCAACUCCGGUGACGGAUAGGCAUGCGGCGCAUUAGGUAGUUGGUAGGGUAACGGCCUACCAAGCCGACGAUGCGUAGGGGUUCUGAGAGGAAGGUCCCCCACAUUGGAACUGAGACACGGUCCAAACUCCUACGGAAGGCAGCAG